rfam:Candidatus Curtissbacteria bacterium RIFCSPHIGHO2_01_FTLL_41_13 rifcsphigho2_01_scaffold_36993, whole genome shotgun sequence.
GGGCAAGUGGCGGAACCGGUAGACGCGAAGGACUUAAAAUCCUUUGGUGGUAAAAUCCAUCAUGAGAGUUCGAGUCUCUCCUUGCCCA